rnacentral:rRNA from 1 species
UCGAAUACAUUAGCAUGGAAUAAUAGAAUAGGACGUGUGGUUCUAUUUUGUUGGUUUCUAGGACCGCCGUAAUGAUUAAUAGGGACAGUCGGGGGCAUCAGUAUUCAAUUGUCAGAGGUGAAAUUCUUGGAUUUAUUGAAGACUAACUACUGCGAAAGCAUUUGCCAAGGAUGUUUUCAUUAAUCAGGAACGAAAGUUCGGAGAUCGAAGACGAUCAGAUACCGUCGUAGUCUUAACCAUAAACUAUGCCGACUAGGGAUCGGAAGGUGUUACUUCUUGACCCGUUCGGCACCUUACGAGAAAUCAAAGUGCUUGGGCUCCAGGGGGAGUAUGGUCGCAAGGCUGAAACUUAAAGAAAUUGACGGAAGGGCACCACCAGGGGUGGAGCCUGCGGCUUAAUUUGACUCAACACGGGGAAACUCACCAGGUCCAGACACAAUGAGGAUUGACAGAUUGAGAGCUCUUUCCUGAUUUUGUGGGUGGUGGUGCAUGUCCGUUCUUAGUUGGUGAAGUGAUUUGUCUGCUUAAUU